GUUUUAUCGUUUGGACCAGCAGUUUACAUCGACUACUCGUACAACUAACAUCGUGUGUCUUGUUUUAGUUAUUACUUAUUUAUUAUAUAUCAACAGUUCAAAUAAUGGCGUUUAAUCCUUUCCUGAUGCAGAACCGAGCCUCGGACUAUAAUAUGGGAUCUUUAUUAUCACAGCAGUAUUUCCCUUCCAUGGGAUUCCCGGGACUUAAUUCACAGUUAUUACACAAGUUACAACAUCAACAGUCAUCGAUGGGCAGGUUACCUCUGACCCAAACAGAUUUGAUGGCCUACCCGGCACCUUUCCGACCCUUCGGGGUACCGGAAUCGGAACCCGAUGUUCAGGACGAUCCAAAAGUGGAAUUGGAGAAUGACGAUCUGUGGAAAACGUUCCAUAAAAUUGGAACAGAGAUGGUUAUUACUAAAACUGGAAGACGUAUUUUCCCAGCCUACAAAGCCAAGUUAUCCGGUCUUGAUAAGAAAUCCAAAUAUAUUUUGCUAUUGGAUAUAGUACCUUGUGAUGAUUGCCGAUACAAGUUCCACAACGGUAAAUGGAUGGUGGCGGGUAAAGCCGACCCAGAGAUGCCCAAAAGAAUGUACAUCCAUCCCGACUCUCCGUGUACUGGCGAACAAUGGAUGCAGAAAGCCGUCUCGUUCCACAAACUCAAGUUAACCAACAAUAUAUCGGAUAAAAGUGGAGCUGCAAUAUUGAAUUCCAUGCACAAAUAUCAACCCCGAAUCCAUCUUGUUCGUGCCAGUGAUCUCCUACGAAUGGCCUACAGCCCAAAUAAAACUUUUGUGUUUGAAGAAACUCAAUUUAUUGCAGUCACAGCUUAUCAAAAUGAAAAGAUUACACAGUUAAAAAUUGAUCAUAAUCCAUUUGCUAAAGGGUUUAGAGAAAAUGGAGGCGGUAGAGGCAAAAAACGAAGCAUCACAAGCGAAGAAACCAAAGUCCCAUCCACUGGCGGCCAUGAUGAAAUCCAUUCCGCUAGCGAGGAAGAUGACGAAAAUCUGGAAAUCUGUGUCGAUGAUAACGACGACGUCACGCCAUCCUCUGUUUCUUUGUCACAUAUAGAAUCCGGUAUUGAAUCUCCGAAAUCCGAACCCGAGGUUGAACUUCCCCCUACUAAAAGACAAAAAAUAGAACCGGAAGUAGAAUCACGUUUGGCAGAAUCUCCGCACAACGAUUCCGGCGUCCACAGCAACUCCGACAGCGAGGAAAAAGAAAACCUUAAAUAUGAAACCAAAGAUAUUAAACAGGAAGUAGCGAAAGAGAAAUCCUUACAAGAUCUCGCCUUUUCUCAGAGAAAAGAAAAAAGUCCGCCAAAUGUGACAGUUUACCAGAAACCCGGGUUCUCCAUGUUUAGACCACAAUCUAUGUAUCAUAGCAACAGUUCCGCUUUUCAUCCAAUAAACUCUUAUCUAUUAAACUCUACAUCCAGUCAAAUGUCUCAUCCAAUGAUGUCAGGUGUUACAUACGGUGGUGGAAGUUUCCCAACAACGUCAUCUCCAGCCCAUGCUGCAUUCGCGCAUGCUUCAUUUUCUCAUCAGUUGGCACUGGCUCAACAUUACCAGCUUGGUGCCAGUUUGGGAGCGUCUCACCUGAAUCUGAUGUCUCAAAGAUCACCCAAUCAACGGUUCCAUCCUUAUUCCGUAACCCCAAUAACUCCUCCAUCAAGUAUGAUGUCUGGAAGUCCGACCCCUGCAAGUCCCGGUUCCAUGCCUGCAUCGUCACCAAGCUUAUCCCCAAAGAGUUCUCCAGGAAUCAUCAGUCCGAUACCGAUCCGUGAACAAUUCACCGGACCUGGUUUGACGAAAGAUGGACGAAUUUCAGCCUGAAAGUGAGACCCCAGAAUUCUAAAGAUCGCAAGUGGCGGUGUUAAAAUUUAAAAAAAUAACUCGGAUAUUCGGGUCAGAGGUCAAGUGUCGUAACCUGUGACCUCGCGACCUUGUGUAUGAUGUUUUCAUGAUCUCCUAUAGUGCUAAUAUUAAACUUUAUAUGUGUUAAUGGCCGCCAUGUUGUGUUAAAGGGACGGACCCAUGUUAAUCUAUAUUUUGUGAGUACAUGUUUAAAGGGGUGAUAAUACAUACUAUAAGCUGUGAUUGAGAUGAUAGUAGCUCCCCUCUCCUCGUCAUUCUAAACUUAUAAGGUGUACCUACUAAAGUUUAUAACUACCUCGUUUAGAAAGAAAACCAAUGUAUGAUCUACAUCAUCAAUAAUUGUGUCAUGUGUACUACGUCAUUUAGAAAGAAAACCUAUGUAUGAUCUACAUCAUCAAUAAUUGUGUCAUGUGUACUACGUCAUUUUUUAAUUACGUCAUCAGAUCAUGUGCAUCAUCAGUACCAUAAAAGGGACAUGUAUAAAGCUGCGACCAUAGAAGUGCAAUAGAAAUGAUAUAUAAAGAUAUAAGUUAUUAAGAUGUAUUAUUAUUAUUACCUGUAUGAAUAUAUUAUAUUAAAUGUGAUGUCGAAUAAAUU